rnacentral:rRNA from 1 species
ACGAACGCUGGCGGCGUGCUUAACCCAUGCCAGUCGCACGCUGAAGCUUGGUGCUUGCACUGGGUGGAUGAGUGGCGAACGGGUGAGUAAUACGUGAGUAACCUGCCCUUGACUCUGGGAUAAGCCUGGGAAACUGGGUCUAAUACUGGAUACGACAUGCCACUGCAUGGUGGUGUGUGGAAAGGGUUUUACUGGUUUUGGAUGGGCUCACGGCCUAUCAGCUUGUUGGUGGGGUAAUGGCCUACCAAGGCGACGACGGGUAGCCGGCCUGAGAGGGUGACCGGCCACACUGGGACUGAGACACGGCCCAGACUCCUACGGGAGGCAGCAGUGGGGAAUAUUGCACAAUGGGCGGAAGCCUGAUGCAGCGACGCCGCGUGAGGGAUGACGGCCUUCGGGUUGUAAACCUCUUUCAGCACGGAAGAAGCGAGAGUGACGGUACGUGCAGAAGAAGCGCCGGCUAACUACGUG